AGAAGCCAGAUGAUUCUGCCUGUGCAGGAAUGAAGUGCGACCCGGCGCGCGAGGGAGGGAGGCCUCUGCGCUUUGGCUCCGGCCGCGCCUCCUCCCUGGGAUCCGGUCUAGGGCUGGCGAGCUCCGCGGAUCCCUGCUCAGAGCGGGGCUGCUGCACCACCUGCCGCGGGUGGCCAAAGCAGAAAAAAAAGAAAAAAAUGGGAGUGGGGAAUACAAACGUCUUAUUUUCUUUUAAAGAAUAGUGAAACUAACAGAGGAGAAUCUGAAAAAAAGAGAAACCUGGGUGAACUUUCACGGACAACCUCAGAGGACAACGAAGUGUUCGGACUCACACCACCCGGCAAGAACUGCUCACUACGGCUCCCUGCCCCAGAAGUCACACGGCCGGACCCAAGAUGAAAACCCCGUAGUCCACUUCUUCAAGAACAUUGUGACGCCUCGCACACCACCCCCGUCGCAGGGAAAGGGGGCCGAAGGCCAGAGACCAGGAUUUGGCUACGGAGGCAGAGCGUCCGACUAUAAAUCGGCUCACAAGGGAUUCAAGGGAGUCGAUGCCCAGGGCACGC
rnacentral:lncRNA from 1 species